CCUUCGGGGUACACGAGCGGCGAACGGGUGAGUAACACGUGGGUGAUCUGCCCUGUACUUCGGGAUAAGCCUGGGAAACUGGGUCUAAUACCGGAUAUGACCUUACAUCGCAUGGUGUUUGGUGGAAAGAUUUAUCGGUACAGGAUGGGCCCGCGGCCUAUCAGCUUGUUGGUGGGGUAAUGGCCUACCAAGGCGACGACGGGUAGCCGGCCUGAGAGGGCGACCGGCCACACUGGGACUGAGACACGGCCCAGACUCCUACGGGAGGCAGCAGUGGGGAAUAUUGCACAAUGGGCGAAAGCCUGAUGCAGCGACGCCGCGUGAGGGAUGACGGCCUUCGGGUUGUAAACCUCUUUCGACAGGGACGAAGCGCAAGUGACGGUACCUGUAGAAGAAGCACCGGCCAACUACGUGCCAGCAGCCGCGGUAAUACGUAGGGUGCGAGCGUUGUCCGGAAUUACUGGGCGUAAAGAGCUUGUAGGCGGUUUGUCGCGUCGUCCGUGAAAACUUGGGGCUCAACCCCAAGCUUGC
rnacentral:rRNA from 1 species